UGUCAUUCUAUGGAACUUGCUAACUAUGUAAACAAACCGCCAUAUUGAAAUUGUCUCUGAAUGAUGAAUUUACUAGUGACUUUUGUUUACAUAGUUAGCAAGUUCCAUAAAAUGACACUUUAGUCAUCUCUCUCUAUCACUCUUCCCCACUAGAGUGACAGUGACAGUCGAGUUUCAUUCGCUAUGGAGCGUUAACGAUUGCACGUUGGCUACGCACCCUGGUUUAUUUCCGCUGGAAAUUUGCUAGUGUUUUCAUCUACGCGUCGCGGCCGUCGCGGCGCACACUCAAAAAUAAUUGACUUCAAUAUGUGACUAAUCAAUUAUCAAUUAAUCAUUUUAUUCUCAUUUUAAAUAAUGUUUUAUUUAACCAAAAGCUAAAGUCAUCGGUCCCUAAGUAGCUUGUCGUAGCAGGCUAGUUAAAGCAUUUGUAGACUUAAACUGGACAUGUCUGUAGGUGGCUAGGCUAAGUUAUUGUACUGUACGUUAGGCUAAGUUGACUGUAAAAUCACUUUCGUCUAUGGUAUUCACGUAAAGACUUUUUUUCAUUAAGUUUAAUAUUUUAUUGUGUUGAUAAGACACGUUGUAUAUAGAAAGAAGUCUAUUUUUUGUUAUCGAUCUAUUUCUUCUUGUUUAUUUUGUGUUGAGUUGAGACAUACUUUCCGUUACUAUAAUUGUAAACGAUUUAAUAAAGAUUUUUUUCUGACAAAUCUCAA